rnacentral:rRNA from 1 species
UACGAAGGGGGCUAGCGUUGCUCGGAAUCACUGGGCGUAAAGGGUGCGUAGGCGGGUCUUUAAGUCAGGGGUGAAAUCCUGGAGCUCAACUCCAGAACUGCCUUUGAUACUGAGGAUCUUGAGUUCGGGAGAGGUGAGUGGAACUGCGAGUGUAGAGGUGAAAUUCGGAGAUAUUCGCAAGAACACCAGUGGCGAAGGCGGCUCACUGGCCCGAUACUGACGCUGAGGAGCGAAAGCGUGGGGAGCAAACAGG